GGAAUAUUGCGCAAUGGGCGAAAGCCUGACGCAGCAACGCCGCGUGGGGGAUGAAGGCCUUCGGGUUGUAAACCCCUUUCGGGAGGGAAGAAAUUGACGGUACCUCCUAAAGAAGCCCCGGCCAACUACGUGCCAGCAGCCGCGGUAAUACGUAGGGGGCGAGCGUUGUCCGGAAUCAUUGGGCGUAAAGAGCUCGUAGGCGGCUUAGUAAGUCGGCUGUGAAAGCCCGGGGCUCAACCCCGGAACUGCAGUCGAUACUGCUGUGGCUAGAGUCCGGUAGAGGAGAGUGGAAUUCCCGGUGUAGCGGUGGAAUGCGCAGAUAUCGGGAGGAACACCAGUAGCGAAGGCGGCUCUCUGGGCCGGCACUGACGCUGAGGAGCGAAAGCGUGGGGAGCAAACAGGAUUAGAUACCCUGGUAGUCCACGCUGUAAACGUUGGGGACUAGGUGUGGCGAUCCGAUCAACGAUUGCCGUGCCGAAGCUAACGCAUUAAGUCCCCCG
rnacentral:rRNA from 1 species